GUGCUUUCUUUGGCAGCACAUAUACUAAACUUUGAAUAAUACAGAGAUUAGUAUGGCCCCUGCUCCAGGAUGACAUGCAGGUUUGUGAAGCUUUUCAUAUUUAA